UGACCUCAGACAAGCGAGAUACCCGCUGAAUUA
rnacentral:rRNA from 1 species